rnacentral:RNase_P_RNA from 1 species
AGAGUUGGCUGAGCAGUCGCUGUUUUAUCAUGACGAUAAAAUGGAGGAAAGUCCGGGCUCCAUUGGGCAGGGUGCCAGGUAACGCCUGGGGGGCGCGAGCCUACGGAAAGUGCCGCAGAAAAUAUACCGCCGGGCACCAUGGUGUCAGGUAAGGGUGAAAAGGUGCGGUAAGAGCGCACCGCGCAACUGGUAACAGAAGUGGCAUGGUAAACCCCACCCGGAGCAAGAUCAAAUAGAGGAACAGACGCGUGGCCCGCGCGGUUCCUGGGUAGAUUGCUUGAGCUGCAGGGUGACUUGCAGCCUAGAUGAAUGUCUGUUCUCGACAGAACCCGGCUUACAGGCCAACUCUUUCU